GCUGGUGAGUUUGAUAUCAUUCAACUUGAUUUUGUAUUGUGUUAAGGGAUGGUUUGUCUAGCUUAGACUAUGAGAAUUAGUUACUAGUUAGUGCAAUAAGGCUAGAUCUUCCAAUUACAACAUAUAAUAGAAAUGAUUCAAAAUGCUUACUAAUGGCUUGUAUUUGGCUUGAUUCCAAGCCCCAUUAAGAUGAAUUAAAUCUAAGCACUAGUAUGUUCUUGGCUUUUAGGCCUGCAUCAAAUCAAAUCCAAGACUAAGUAAAUCCUAUUUCGAUCAAAAUAGGGUCAAUAAGGCUUUAUAAUAUAAAUAUCUAAAUAGUAUACAAGUUAAACAAUGCUCC
rnacentral:lncRNA from 1 species